GUCCCCAUCGUCUAGCGGUUAGGACAUUGCCCUUUCACGGCAGUAACCGGGGUUCAAGUCCCCGUGGGGACGCCA
rnacentral:tRNA from 1 species